AUGUUUCUUUCCCAUUUCCAACAUGGCUUUGUUCUCUCGUGUGUUGAUGCAGACAGAACCCCUAGGCUGGAUCCAGUGCUGCGCAUUCCCAAAUCUACCCUUUCAACUGUCACCUCACUGCACCAAAUCUCAGAGAAACACCAAGAACCACCCAGUCUAAUCAGUGAUUCAUGGCGCUUGAAACACACGCUGGGAACAGUAUUUGGCAUCGUGACCAUCAUCCUCAUUAUCACGAUCACACUCGGAGUGGCCUACCACAAAAAGAAAGCAAAAGGUAAGAAUUCAAAUUUCCACAAGCAAGAUGCAAUGCUGAAGUCACAGGGUACUCAUGCUGUGAAUAAGCUAGCAUGCAGCAUGAAUUUUGUUUCUGUAGACCCAGAAUACGGCACAUCUUCUUUUUCCUCGGAUAAAUGUGGAAGAAGCCUCAGCAGUGCACCUGACAUCAUCCCACCACAACAGGAGCCCAACAGCAUCAUCUACACUACUGUGCAUUUUAAGCCCCAUGAAGAAACAUCUCAGCUGUAUGCCAACUUGUGCCUCCACAAUUCAGAAUGUGCACUGAAGUCACAGGAGAGUGUGGAGUACUCUACCAUAGCCAGAAUGGGUGGUAAGAAUUAGAGCUGUCCACUGUCAUGAACAAUAUGUGACAAUAUUGCUUUUAAUAUCUAAUAUUUGAUUUUUAAAUGUUUAAGAAAUGCUUACAUGAUUUGUUUUGGUGCAAGGGCUCAGUUACUUUUGAGACAAGAAAAAUGGUUUGGGGGUUGUUAUGUAUGAAAACAGCCUACAGCGUUCACCCUCAAACUACAGCUGAGAAUCUGCACUUUGAGCAUAUAUUGAUUAUCUAAUUCCAGCUCCAAUGUUCUGUGGUAGACAGUUAAAAUGACUACUGUGUCAACACCCAAAUAUUUAUGGACAUGACUAUACUUAGUUGUCAGUGGUGGACAGUAACUAAGUAAAUGUAAUUAGUUACUGUACUUAAGUAAAGUACAGAUACACAAAAAAAACUACUUAAGUUUCUCCGUUCUCGGCUUUUUCCUUUCAGUCCACUACAUUUCAGAGUCUAAUAUCCGACUUUUUCCUCCUUUUUUUGAGAAAUCUGUCGUUCCUUUUGGUUUCUGUGUGUAUAAAAACGUAACAUGUCAAAAUGGACUUUCACCUGAAAUGAGUUCAUGAAGCCAGUCUGGUUAUAAAAAUGAUAACAGGACAUCAGAGCCAGAAUUCCUCUUUUAGUACUUUUACUUUAUACUUAAGUACAUUUGAAGGUAAAUACUUUAGUACUUUUACUCAAGUGGAGGUCUAAAGGGAGGAACUUCUACUUUUACUGGAGGAAUAUUUUACCCUGGGUAGAUCUACUCAAGUACACGAUUUGUGUACUCCGUCCAGCUCUGUUAGUUGUUGAGCCUUCUGUGGAGCCAUCUGUUAAAUAUAUGUUUUCUACUGACACUGAACAAUGAAUAACGUGUACUUAAUGUUGGCUCUGACUGGAAAUAAAUUGUAUAACUGUUGCACAGUGUUGUAUAUUGUGGAAAUAUUUAUGUUUAUUAUUCAAACCUGACAUGGCCUUUAAAGUGACCUCAUUACAAUGCUGUAGAUGAUUUUUUUCACUGUUCACUGUUGUCAUGGUGAUGGAAAUGACCUCUAUGGGUUAUUUAAUUCUAUAUUUAUAUAGAAAAACGUGAGAAGUAGUGAAAUCUGUUCAUUUACAAUGUGAAUAAAAUUCUAAUGAUCUAAGACAACUGAUGGAGUCUCUCUAGUGUGUGUGUGUGUGUGUGUGUGUGUGUGUGUGUGUGUGUGUGUGCGCGCAUGCC
ensembl:lncRNA